ACAAAUGUUUUGAUAAGAACUAGUAAGAUAUAGACGUUAAACAGAAAGUAGCCGGCAGAUGAGAGGCGCAUAACAGAGAAGUAUCUGAAUUCCUCUUUGAACUUCGCGCUGAAAUAAGUAGGUUGCGACGGUAAUUGCGUCCGUUAUAAUGCUAGAGUAUAAAUUUGUACUUGAAGAGUCAAUUAGUGUGAACUGAUUGAAAACUAAGGUGGUAACACGGAUCAUUUCGGUCUCGUCCUUUUC
rnacentral:ncRNA from 1 species